rnacentral:rRNA from 1 species
AACGAACGCUGACGGUAAGCCUAAUACAUGCAAGUCGAACGAGAAAGCUUCUUCGGAAGUGAUUAAAGUGGCGCACGGGUGAGUAACACGUAGGUGACCUGCCUAUUAGUUGGGGAUAACCCCGGGAAACCGGAGCUAAUACCGAAUGUGUUGAAUAAACUUGGAAAUAAUUCAACAAAGAUGGCCUCUGCAUAUGCUAUCGCUAAUAGAUGGGCCUGCGGGCCAUUAGUUUGAUGGUGGGGUAAUGGCCUACCAUGGCUAUGAUGGCUAGCUGGUCUGAGAGGAUGAUCAGCCACACUGGAACUGAGACACGGUCCAG